rnacentral:rRNA from 1 species
CACAAGCGGUGGAGUAUGUGGUUUAAUUCGAUGCAACGCGAAGACCUUACCUGGUCUUGACAUCCCGGAGACCCUUAGGAAACUAGGGGUGCUUCCAUCUGGAAGAAUCUGGAGACAGGUGCUGCAUGGCUGUCGUCAGCUCGUGUCGUGAGAUGUUGGGUUAAGUCCCACAACGAGCGCAACCCUUGCCUUUAGUUGCCAGCAGUUCGGCUGGGCACUCUAAAGGGACUGCCGGUGUUAAACCGGAGGAAGGUGGGGAUGACGUCAAGUCCUCAUGGCCUUUAUGACCAGGGCUACACACGUACUACAAUGGCCGAUACAAAGGGCAGCGACACUGCGAGGUGAAGCCAAUCCCGUAAAAUCGGUCUCAGUCCGGAUUGGAGUCUGCAACUCGACUCCAUGAAGUUGGAAUCGCUAGUAAUCGUGGAUCAGCAUGCCACGGUGAAUACGUUCCCGGGCCUU